rnacentral:rRNA from 1 species
UACGAGGGGGGCAAGCGUUGUUCGAUUAUUGGUGCGUAAAGGGCGCGUAGGCGGUUUGACAAGUCUGAUGUGAAAUCUAUGGGCUCAACUCAUAGUCUGCAUUAGAAACUGUCGGGCUUGAGUAUGGGAGAGGUGAGUGGAAUUUCCGGUGUAGCGGUGAAAUGCGUAGAUAUCGGAAAGGAACACCUGUGGCGAAAGCGGCUCACUGGACCAUAACUGACGCUGAGGCGCGAAAGCUAGGGGAGCAAACAGG